UACCAUAUUAGAAAUGAGCCACUCACCCCUUAAAAGGCCUCAUAAGGGGGAGGGUUAUCCACACUUAUAUAGACUAGAUGGGAUCUUCACCAAGUCGAUGUCGGACAGAAUUUAGAGAAUUUAACAAAUGGCGUUACCCAUGGAGAGUAGGAGCUCUCUGCUGGAAUUUUACUCACUCAACUCACAACUCUCUUUCUCGAUUGCUGAUUGAAAUGUUGUGGUAAAGGAGUAAGGUCAAGGGGAGGCACACAUAUAUAGAGGUUUUGUAACUGAAAAAUCUACCAGGCAGAUUGUGUGCAGGAAUGAAUCAGUUAUUUGAGUGUUGGCUGUUCAUUUGGGGUAGUACAGGGGUGUACUCGUGGAAUUAAUGUAGUUGUUCCCUCAUUUGCUAUCCAUCCUACUGCAGGAGUUCCUUUUAUCUGACCCUUUACAGCACCUUUAACUGAAUUUUUGGUGGUGGUUUUGCAGAUGUACAAGUAGAGGAUGCAGGGGUUUGUUGGGAGUGGAUUUACAGUAGCUGCAGCUGCAGCUGCGCUUUUUGGCAAGUUGCUGGGAAGAGGAGCUGGUUCGUACAUGGACUAAUUUCGAACAUAGGGGCCGAGCUAAGGGCUUGGGCCUGAGGAGAAAGCCCAAGAGUGCAAGCUAUAUAGAAUUAUAAUUUCUUAAGCUCUUGGCCAAUACUGUGUAUUUUGUAAUAGCAUCCAUAAUUCCUUUUUCUUCAACUCAUAAACCCACAUGUAUUUAAUCAUGUAAGUUAAUGUGUACUUUGAGAUGUAUGCCAACACUUUAGUUUGGGAUUGAAAUCUUCAUAUUCUUCUCGA